rnacentral:rRNA from 1 species
AUUGAACGCUGGCGGCAGGCCUAACACAUGCAAGUCGAACGGUAGCACAGAGAGCUUGCUCUCGGGUGACGAGUGGCGGACGGGUGAGUAAUGUCUGGGAAACUGCCCGAUGGAGGGGGAUAACUACUGGAAACGGUAGCUAAUACCGCAUAACGUCGCAAGACCAAAGUGGGGGACCUUCGGGCCCCACACCAUCGGAUGUGCCCAGAUGGGAUUAGCUAGUAGGUGGGGUAAUGGCUCACCUAGGCGACGAUCCCUAGCUGGUCUGAGAGGAUGACCAGCCACACUGGAACUGAGACACGGUCCAGACUCCUACGGGAGGCAGCAGUGGGGAAUAUUGCACAAUGGGCGCAAGCCUGAUGCAGCCAUGCCGCGUGUAUGAAGAAGGCCUUCGGGUUGUAAAGUACUUUCAGCGGGGAGGAAGGCGGUGGAGUUAAUAACUUCACCGAUUGACGUUACCCGCAGAAGAAGCACCGGCUAACUCCGUGCCAGCCGCCGCCGUAA